rnacentral:rRNA from 1 species
CUCGUAGGCGGUUUGUCGCGUCGGGAGUGAAAUCCAUUGGCUUAACUGGUGGCUUGCUUUCGAUACGGGCAGACUGGAGGUAUGCAGGGGAGAACGGAAUUCCUGGUGUAGCGGUGAAAUGCGCAGAUAUCAGGAGGAACACCGGUGGCGAAGGCGGUUCUCUGGGCAUGUCCUGACGCUGAGGAGCGAAAGUGUGGGAGCGAACA